AAAAAACGACAAGCGAGAAAUGAAAUUUUGGCCCAUCGUGCAAAAUAGAACCACCGCCUCUGCUACUGCAAUAUCGACCGAGGUAAAGAAACCCUAGACUUGUUCAAUCGGCUAAGCGAAUCGAAAGCCGUGAUGUCGUCGACUCUACUCGAGCUGAAUCGGGCUGCUCACGAAGAUGUAGAACGUCUUGAGCGGCUCAUCGUGAAGGACCUGCAAAAUGAUCCACCUACCUCCAAAGACCGAUUAUAUCAAAGCCACCGUGUCCGCAAUAAUAUCGACACAAUCAUCGCAACCACCGAGAAGCUGGUUGAGAUAUAUGAAGAUAAAGAUAGUUCUAGGAAAGAUGAAAUCGCGGCUCUCGGAGGUCAAACAGCUACCGGAAUUAAUGUCUUUAGUGCUUUUUAUGAUAGAUUGAAGGAGAUACGUGAGUACCAUAGAAAGCACCCCGCUGCACGUGUCGUCGAUGCUAAUGAAGAGUAUGAGGCUUUACUUAAGGAGGAACCAGUCAUUGAGUUCAGCGGAGAGGAAGCCUUUGGUCGGUAUCUGGAUCUGCAUGAAUUGUUCAAUCAGUACAUUAAUUCAAAAUUUGGAGCCAAAAUUGAAUACUCGGCUUACCUGGAUAUCUUUUCACAGCCACACAAUAUCCCUUGGAAACUGAAGUCAACAAGGCAAUACAGGGAGUACAUGGAGAAUUUGUUGGAGUAUCUAAUUUACUUCUUUCAGAGGACUGAACCACUACAAGAUCUUGACAGAAUCUUUUCCAAGGUUGAGGUUGAGUUUGAGGAGCAGUGGGCUAAUGGCCAGGUACAAGGAUGGGAGAAACAAGGUCCGGAAAAUGAAGAUGAUCCUAUGCAUCAUGCAGUGAUUGAUCUAGAUUAUUACAGCACAGUUGAAGAGUUGAUGGAAGUGGGACCAGAAAAGUUAAAGGAGGCAUUGGCAGCAUUAGGACUAAAAACUGGUGGUACCGUUCAGCAGCGCGCCGAGAGGCUUUUCCUCACCAAGCAUACACCUUUGGACAAGCUGGACAAGAAACAUUUUGCAAAAGGCUCACAUGGACCUCGACAAAAUGGAUCCGCUGCAGUUUCACAGGACAUUAACAGUCUGAAACAUGUUGCAUUGAUGGAAGCCAAGAUGAAGAAACUCUGUGAUUUACUGACUAAGACAAUCGAACAAACAAAAGAAAAUGUGGUAAAGAAGCAAGCUUUGACAUACGAGGAAAUGGAACAAGAACGUGAAGAGGAAGAGACACAAGUGGACACUGAAAGUGAUGAUGAAGAUCAACAGAUCUAUAAUCCUCUUAAAUUGCCAAUGGGUUGGGAUGGAAAGCCUAUACCUUACUGGCUUUACAAACUUCAUGGCCUUGGUCAGGAAUUUAAGUGCGAGAUUUGUGGGAACUAUAGCUACUGGGGUCGACGGGCUUUCGAGAGGCAUUUCAAAGAAUGGCGGCAUCAGCAUGGCAUGCGAUGCCUUGGUAUUCCUAACACCAAGAACUUCAAUGAAAUCACCAAUAUUGAGGAAGCUCAAGAACUGUGGGAGAAGAUAAGAGAACGGCAAGGAGUGAACAAGUGGCGGCCCGAUCUUGAAGAGGAAUACGAAGAUAAAGAGGGUAACAUCUAUAACAAGAAGACAUAUACCGAUUUGCAGCGGCAGGGGCUGAUUUAAAGAUGCUUCUGUUGAGAAGCGAGUGUUCCGCGUUUCGCAUACCUGCGGAUACGCUGAACUAAACUAGUGGCAUUCGAGAAACAAUUAAGGAAUUCACUAUUGCCUGGAAGUUUCAUUUGGACAAGACGCAUACAAGUGCCGAGCCAUUUUACGCCACGGGAGACGGGCAUACUGUACCGGGCAAGAAUUGGCGUAUUUGAACUGGUUCAACCAUUGUGAACUUAUAUGAUGGUUAAAGUAAUAUCUUAUGCUUUGUAGAGAUUUCGUAAAACAAUUCAAUUUAAAGUACAAGCAAAGCAA